rnacentral:lncRNA from 1 species
UAUCUUAGGGAGGGAAAAAGAAAGAAAAGAAAAGAAAAGAAAGGAAAAGAAAAGAAAAGAAAAGAAAAGAAAAGAAAAGAAGAGAAAAGAAAAGAAAAGCCUGAGAACUUGAUCCUCAGCUGAAGCCAACCAAGCUGCACCCAAGUAUCAGGAAGAAUUCCAGGACUUGUCCUUUGCCCAUACCCCAGAGUUACUCCCUAGCUACUUCCUAGCAACAGUUAAUCAAAGAUUAGUCUGAUUGUUCCAGAUGUACUUUCUGACCAUUUGUGAUUGCUCAUGGUCUUGCUUCAGAGCACCCACCUGUCAGCUUACAAUAGUCAUUCCCUUAGAUGCUUGCCAGGCUGGACACCUUUCACUUGUUCCCAUUUCCUAUAAAACCUUGUCCCAAUGAGAGUUCAGGGCUGCUUCACCAAGGCAGUGAGCAAGCCCAAGCUUAAGUUUGUAAUAGAGAGACCCUAAUGUGAUUGCAUUGGAAUCUGCUCCUGGUUUGUCUUUUGGGCUCAUGAAUAAGGCAAGAAUAUCUACAAGUUGAAUGUAAUAUCUGUCAAAAUUAAAAUAUCAAUCAGACCUGAUGGCAUAUGGUACUUGGACCAUAUGCCAAGACCAGCUGGAUUACAGAGUGACUUCAAAUGCAGUCUGGGCAACCCAAUGAGGCCCCUUCUCAAAGUUAAGAUAAAACAAAACAUGGUUAUGACAACAUUGGCCUGGGGGGUGUGUAUUGUUUAGAUCUGAUCCCCCCAAAACACAGGCAACAGAAGCAGUAUACAAGUGGGAGCACAUGCAAGUAGUCCUACAUAGUGUCAGACAUCUAUGGGUUAAGAAAAAAAUGUCUAGGCUGGGCAUGGUGGCACACGUCUUUAAUCCCAGCACUCGUGAGGCAGAGGCAGGCAGAUUCCUGAGUUCGAGGCCAGUCUGGUCUACAAAGUGAGUUCCAGGACAGCCUGGGCUAUACAGAGAAACCCUGUCUCGAAAUCCCCCUCCCCCCAAAAAAGAAAAAAUGUCUAAACCAAAAAAAAAAAAAAAAUGUCUAUAAGACACACACCUAGGGUUGGAGAGAUGGUUCAGCAGUUAAGAGCACUGACUGCUCUUCCAGAGAUCCUGAGUUCAAUUCCCAGCAACCACAUGGUGGCUCACAACCAUUUGUAAUGGAAUCUGAUGCCCUCUUCUGCUGUGUCUGAAGACAGCUACAGUGUACUCACCUACAUAAAAUAAAAAUAAAUCUUAAAAAAAAAAAAGACACAUGGGGGCUGAAGGGAUAGCUCAGUGGUUGGGAGCACUGACUGCUCUUCCAAAGGUCCUGAAUUCAAAUCCCAGCAACCGCAUGGUGGCUCACAACCAUCUGUAAUGAGAUCUGACACCCUCUUAGGUGCCUGAUUUAUUAC